AUCAGGGCUGAAGUUACCUCCUCAACGGUUUGUCUAUUUGUUUAUGUAGUGAACCAUGAUUGAACAUACUCUUCAACAGGCUUCCACAAUGUUUACGUCCAAAACUCCCCAUUUUUUCAAAGUAAUUCUUCAGGAAACUUUGAGAGAUGGGAUACUCGGGAUUCCUAGAAAGUUUGUGAGAAAAUACGGAAACCAACUGUCAAGCCCUGUUAAGCUUGAGGUGCCUAGUGGUGCAAUAUGGCAGGUGGAACUGGCAAAGACUGAUGAAAGGGUGAGGUUGCAAAACGGCUGGCGAGAAUUUGCAGAGCAUUACUCGCUUGAACUUGGGUCUUUUGUGGUCUUCAGAUAUGAAGGGAAUGAUCAUUUCCAUGUCCUAAUUUUUGAUAAAAGCGCUUCGGAGACCGAGUAUCCCCACACUAGCACUGAAGGUAACGAUGGUGAUGAUCAUGUGUCCAUUGAGCUUUGUGAUGAUGUUUCAGCCAGUAAGAAAAACAAAGAGAAACCAGAUUUGCCAUGUUCACUCCCUCAAAAGAAAAUGAGUACUGAUUCAAAGUUAAAGAAUUCAUCUUCACACAUUUGCCUUGAUGAACCCUGCUCUAUAAAGAAUAAGCUUCGGAAUCUCAAGAAAGAUGAAAACUCAAGUAGUUCAACAGGACAAGUAGAUGCUCAAAGGAGCAUAGGCAGUACAGAUGGAACCAGGAGCUUGGUAAGAGAUACUAAUUCUAGUUCUCAAGAAAGAUGUCCCUCCGGCUCUAGAGAACUUAAAGACUCAAAGUUCCAAAAACGAAAGAAGCGUGUGGAUUCCCAAUAUUCAACAAAAGAUCUUAGGGAUGAAUUCAUAUGUUCAGCAAAACAUGAUAAUGGAGGGGUAUCAGGUGCUUGUGGAUGUCUGAAACCUAACCUUUUAGGCAGGAUGCAACCAUUGGCUCCAACUGAGAAACAAAGAGCUGCUGAUAUUGUAAGUUGGUCUUCCUCAAGAUUAGUGAGUAGGAAAAGUAAAGAGAAAUCACAUUUACCAUGUCCUCUGCCUCAGAAGAAAAUGAGAAUCGAUGCUUCUAAUCAACAUGAACAAAAUUCAAAGUUAGAGGUUUUAUCUUCUGGCACUAGCCCUGAUGCUCAAAGAAGUGUGAAAACUAAGGCUUUCAGUUGUGUGCAACGGCUGGCAGCCAUUGAAAAGGCGCACGCUGUUCAGAUAGCUAGUGCUUUUGAAAGUACUGAAAACCCAGUUUUUAUGAUAGUCAUGCAACCAUCAUACGUUCGUGGCAGAAUGUUUAUACCAUCGGACUUUGCUAGAAAAUUUUUGACAGUGCACAAGUCUAAUCUGACCUUGUGCAAUUCCACUGGGAAAACUUGGCAUGCCAAGUUAUACUAUCCAGCAAAUAAAAAACCAAACGCACACCUCUACGGUGGGUGGCGUGAAUUUGUGGAAGAUAAUCAUCUUAAUGUUGGUGACAUUUGUGUCUUCGAGCUAAUUAAGUACCCUGAAAUCUUAAUGAAAGUGCAAAUCUAUCCGGGUGUCAAAAAUGCAAGCAAGGCCUGCGGGCAACAAUCUCUCGGGAGCAUAGUUAGUCGAGUUAAAAACAGGAUCUUGGUCAGUGAUGCUGAACCCAAUUGUCAACAAAGUCCAUCCAGCUCCAGAGAAUCUAAAGACCUAACAGACUCGCACAUCAAAACCUUGGAUGACUCUCCACUAGACCAGAAAACAGAGAAGAAAUAGACACGCUCGAGUGUUCAGCAUUGUAAGAUGACGAGAACCAGCCUAAGUGGAAGCAUUCAGGCUAAGGGGAUUAAGCACGAGAAAGGAAAGAGCUUGAAUUUCCAAUAUUCAACAGAAGAACUUGGAGGUGGACUCAAAAAUUCUGCAAAAGGUGAUAGUGGAAGGAAGUCAGGUGCUCGGAGAUGUCUGAAACCUGAUCCUGUAUACCAGAAACGAAGAGCUUGUACAGGAGGUGGUGCUUUUAGAACUUCAAACCCCUCUUUCAGUGUUGUGAUACACCCAUCACAUGUUGGUUCUUGUAGUACUGUGCAUAUACCGGAGGAAUUUGGCAAGAGAUAUUUGAAGAAAAGCGGAGAAAUGAUGCUGAGAGUUGCAGAUGGGAGGAGUUGGAAUGUUGAGUACGAAAGAAGAGGAAGGAGUAAAGGUAGAAAAGCAGUCUUUGGGGGUAAGAGUUGGGGACAAUUUGCGAUGGACAAUGAAUUGGAGGUGGGAGACGUUUGUGUGUUUGAGCUGAUGAAUGAAAAUGGAAACUUGUUGGAAGUUGUCAUUCAUCGCAAGCUUUUACUCGUCGAAAUUAAUUAAGUUGUCAAAUAUUUCAAUCCAAAUUGAAACUGUUUGAUGAUUUUGAGUAUUUACUUCAAUGGAACUUUGUAUUAUUCAAGGAUGGAGAAUACAUCCCUGUUCAUUCAAAUAUCAUACUACAAAAAUCAUUUUAUUUAAUUAUGAUAUAUACUUUUUAUUUUUUAUUUUAUUAAAACUAUUUUAUAAUUUUUUACGAUUA